GCAGAGUCUUGCUUUGUCACCCAGGCUGGAGUGCAGUGUCAUGAUCUCGGCUCACUGCAGUCUCCACCUCCCACGUUCAAAUGAUUCUACUGCCUCAGCCUCCCGAGUAGCUGGGACUACAGGUGUGCACCCAGCUAAUUUUCAUAUUUUUAGUAGAGAUGGGGUUUCACCGUGUUGGCCAGGCUGGUCUCAAACUCCUGGCCUCAAGUGAUCCUCCCUGCCUUGGCCUCCCAAAGUUCUGGGAUUACAGGCGUGAGCCACUGUGCCUGGCCUUCGCCUCUCCUGCCGGUGGGACCCAGGCCCUCACCCUGGGGUCCAAGUCCUAGUCUUCUCGCUCUUGCUGGGCUUUACCCUCCCUGCCCCGGCCUGGUAGAGGGUGCUCUGCCUGCUGGUCCGCUGGAACAGGAGCGGCCCCGGCCAGGUGACCCACAGCCAUCGAGCGGGGCAGUGCCUUACUCUGUCCCAGGUGGCUGGGUUUUAGGACCUCUGAGCCCUCACAGCUUAAGAGUUGCAGGGAAAGGAAGCACAGGUUGUCAGUGGGUCACUGGGAGCUGGUGAGUGGACGGCCACUCCUGCCUCUACCCCUUGGUCCCCAGACCCCUGCGGUCCUCUGUGGGGCCAUUGAUUUAGGCCGAAGACCACAUCCUGGAGGACGGGACCACCACAGUCCCAGAGGGUUGGUGUCAGGACGGUGGCACCAACUCUUUCCGAGAAGCUCGCCGACGCUCUAGGCUCUGCGGCGCCCGUGUUCCCGCUCCCUCUGCACCCCAUUGCCGGAAGCAGAGGCCCUGGGGGCCGUUACACAGGAGCCCGUCUCCCAGGGCAGACACGGAGGCAUCGUGGGCUGGAAAGGGCCCCUGGUGGUCUUUAUUGCCAGAAGACGGGAUGUGCUGCUGCCGACAGGAGCUGGGCUUGUCGUGGGGCGCCUGGCUUCGUUUGGUCCUCCAUCGCUCCAGGUGGGAGCCGUGUGGGAGCACCGGACGCUGCGUCACUGGCCGCGUCAUUGGCUUGUGGGUGGCUGGGUGCCCGCUCUGCAGCUGGUGCCCCUGGUGAACACCCACAAGUCCCCACGCUGGUGUCCACCCGGCAGUUCCAUUCCCCAGUCCGUCUUCCAGCGUUGCCCUUCUCAGGCCUUGACCGGCCAGCCGAGCCCUUCCCCAGCCCUGUCCACGUGUGUCCUGGUUGGUCUUGAACUCCUGACCUCAGGAGCCCCAAAGUGCUGGGAUUACAGGCGUGAGCCACCGUGCCCAGCCUGCAUCUGCUAAACUCUUUUCCAGGUGGUUGAAGCGCUGGUAUUUCCAUCAGCUCAGUGUGAGAGCUCUGGUUGCUGUACCUCCCAUCAACAUUUGACAUGUUUAGUCUUUUUAAAUUUUCAGGCAUUCUAGUGGGUGCACGAUGGUGUCUCACUGUAAUUUUAAUUUCUAUCUUCCUAAUGACUAAUGUUCUUGCGUCUUUUUAUGUGCUGUUCGCCAUCCAUAUAUCUUCACUGGUGAAAGGUCUGUUGAAAUCUUUUGUCUAUUUCUAAAUUGGAUUAUUUCUAUUUAUUGAGUGCUGGGGGUUCUUUGUAUAUUCUGGAUACAAGUCCUUUAUCAGUUAUGUGAUUUACAAGUAUUAUUCCCAGUCUGUGGCUUGUCUUUUUAUUUUCUUAACAGUGUAUUAUAAAGGGCAUAAGUUCCUAAUUUUGAUGAAGUCCAAUUUAUUGAUCUCUUCUAUAGAUCAUAAUUUUAGUGUUAUAUUUCAGAAAUAUAACUCAAAAAUGACAAACAUUUUUCUCUUACAUUUUCCUUUAGAUGGUUUAUCAUUUUAGAUUCCAGUUGUGAUCCAUUUUGGGAUAAUUUUUGCACAUGGUGUGAGAUUCAUUUUUUGCAUAUAGAUGUUGAAAAGAUCAUUAUUUUUUCACUGAAGUUCUUCUGUACCUUUACUUAAAAUCAAAUGACAAUAGAUGCAUGGGUCUAUUUCUGGACUCGUUUGAUCUAUAUUUCUGUGUUAAUAUCAAUACCUCGCUGUCUUGAUUACAAUAGACUUGCAACAGCCCUUCAAGUCAGAUGGUGGAUGUCCCCUCAAGUCACUUUUCUUUUUCAAGGUUGUUUCAGCUGCUCUUGGUCCUUUGCAUUUCCAUAUUAAUUUUAGAAUCAGUUUGUCAAUCUCCACACACACAAAAAACCUAUUGGAAUUCUGAUUGGGCAGCACUGACCUGUAGUUCAAGUUGGAGAGCGUAUCUCAGCAAUAUCGAGUCUUCCAGUACAUGAACAAGGUCUGUCUCUACAUGGACUUAGGAGUUUAAUUUCUCUCAUCAAUGUCUGGCAGUGUUCAGUGUUCAGGUCUUGCACAUCUUAUCAGAAUUAUUCAUAUUUCACAUUUUUGAUGCUAUUUUAAGUGAUGUUUUAAAUUUCACUUUAUAAUUGUCCAUUAUUAGAACAUAGACGUACAGCUGAUUUUCAUAUCUUGAUCUUGUUUCCCACAGUCUUGCUAAACUCAAUAGUUCUAGUUGUUUUUCUGUAGAUUCUAUCAGAUUUUCUACAUGGGUAAUCAUGUCAAUGGCAAAUAAAGACAGUUUUACUUCUUCCUUUUCAA